GACGAACGCUGGCGGCGUGCCUAAUACAUGCAAGUUGAGCGCUGAAGGUUGGUACUUGUACCGACUGGAUGAGCAGCGAACGGGUGAGUAACGCGUGGGGAAUCUGCCUUUGAGCGGGGGACAACAUUUGGAAACGAAUGCUAAUACCGCAUAAAAACUUUAAACACAAGUUUUAAGUUUGAAAGAUGCAAUUGCAUCACUCAAAGAUGAUCCCGCGUUGUAUUAGCUAGUUGGUGAGGCAAAGGCUCACCAAGGCGAUGAUACAUAGCCGACCUGAGAGGGUGAUCGGCCACAAUGGGACUGAGACACGGCCCAAACUCCUACGGGAGGCAGCAGUAGGGAAUCUUCGGCAAUGGACGAAAGUCUGAACGAGCAACGCCGCGUGAGUGAAGAAGGUUUUCGGAUCGUAAAACUCUGUUGGUAGAGAAGAACGUUGGUGAGAGUGGAAAGCUCAUCAAGUGACGGUAACUACCCAGAAAGGGACGGCUAACUACGUG
rnacentral:rRNA from 1 species